rnacentral:lncRNA from 1 species
UUUGCAUGGAAACCCAUCUGGAGGCAGAUGCUCUCGGUGGACUCACACAGCAUAUGGGCAGAUCGCACCUGCCUUGGGGGGACAUGGCCUCCGAUUAGAGAGGCAACGGCUGGGGUUUGAAGAUGUCAGUUAAAAACAAAAACUUUCUUUAAAAAGUACCAGUUUAAAUGUAAACUAUGAAACACGUGAACUAUAAAAUGUAGCCAGAAAGAUGCUGAAGUAUCCACAGUCAAUUACUGAAAAUGUGACUCUCUGGAGAUCUUAGAAGGCUCAGAGCAUUUGACAGUAGCUAAAAACAUAUAUCCUUAACAUGUGCUUUUGAAAAUCACAUUUGAUUACAAGACAGAGAAUAAUCUCUUCCUUGGUUUAAUUUUUGUGGUAAAGAUGAGCUAUUUUCAGAAUUCACUUAAGCAACGAUGACCAGCGUAUGAGUGAAUUGUUAUUUUCAGCCCAUGCAGAGUUCCUAAGUCUUUUAAAUCCCAAGAUCAAGCUGGCUACAUGAUUUCAAAAAAGCCUAAAACCAGGAUGAAUGCCCACAUUUGAGGUAAUUAUUGCCAUCAGGUCACAGUUUGUGUAAGAUAAUGUAUCUAAAACCUUCUUUAGAUAGAUCUUUAGGUGCUCUGUCAGAAUUCCAGAAUACCUAUUGAAACCAACCAAUUCUGAUUAGUUGGGUUUGCUUCCAAUGGAAUUAAAGUUCUAGAAGGUUCUAGAACUUGUGUAAACUACCUAAGCAUUUAGGCAAACAAGCCUGGAGCCAGUCAAUAAAGAAGUUUCUGAAAUUAAAAAGAAAACAAAAAACCCACCCAAAACAACUGAGAUGUUUCUUAAAGCAAGAAUAGUUUCCUAAAAAAUUAAAAAUCUAAAGUAUUUCUAAAUUCUUGCCACCUUUCAACCAACAUAAAAAUGCUUCUGUAUUAUCCUGAAAGUUGCCUAGUUUUUCUCAGUUUACAAAACCGCUGCCUUCCGUCUGAGGUUAUCUCAAAAGACAACCUUAUUUUGUUCCUCUUUCUAAAAGUCAUCUUGUCUUUCUCCUCCUUUUUUUGUUUUUGUUUUUGUUUUUGUUUUUGUUUUUGUUUUUGUUUUUGUUUUUGUUUUUUUUUUUACACAAAGAAAACAGUUCCUGGACACCAGACCCACACACAAUAUUUACAAAUUUGGUGUGAAUCCCGCACCUGGGUCUACCCAGAGCCGAAAGAGUAGAUGAUGACAGAGACCAGAAGUGUCAUGAUAUUUCUCAGUGCAGUAAAAAAUAGCAUUUUGAAAAAAAUAUAUACCUUUAGUAUUGCCUUUAUAGAAUUAACUACAAGCAAGAAAAAAAUUAUUUUUUUUUUAAAGAAGAAAAGAACACUUUUUUCCCUCCCUCUUACAAGAGUUAGUUGUAGCAGCACUACGAAAGCUAGCUGGUACACUGGAAAGGAAGAGCCAAAAGAAACACGCUUAAGAGUUUUCUC